rnacentral:rRNA from 1 species
UACGGGGGGGGCAAGCGUUGUUCGGAAUUACUGGGCGUAAAGGGCUCGUAGGCGGCCAACUAAGUCGGAUGUGAAAUCCCCAGGCUUAACCUGGGAACUGCAUCCGAUACUGGAUGGCUUGAAUCCGGGAGAGGGAUGCAGAAUUCCAGGUGUAGCGGUGAAAUGCGUAGAUAUCUGGAGGAACACCGGUGGCGAAGGCGGCAUCCUGGACCAGUAUUGACGCUGAAAAGUGAAAGCGAGGGGAGCAAACGGA